rnacentral:rRNA from 1 species
CUACGGGGGGCACCAGUGAGGAAUAUUGCACAAUGGGGGGAACCCUGAUGCAGCAACGCCGCGUGGAGGAUGACGCAUUUCGGUGUGUAAACUCCUUUUAUAUGUCAAGAAAAUGACGGUAGCAUAUGAAUAAGCACCGGCUAACUCCGUGCCAGCAGGCCGCGGUAAUACGGAGGGUGCAAGCGUUACUCGGAAUCACUGGGCGUAAAGGACGCGUAGGCGGGUUGGAAAGUCAGGUGUGAAAUCCUACAGCUUAACUGUAGAACUGCACUUGAAACUUCUAAUCUAGAGUAUGGGAGGGGGAGAUGGAAUUAGUGGUGUAGGGGUAAAAUCCGUAGAUAUCACUAGGAAUACCUAAAGCGAAGGCGAUCUCCUGGAACAUUACUGACGCUAAGGCGUGAAAGCGUGGGGAGCAAACAGGAUUAGAUACCCCGGUAGUC